rnacentral:rRNA from 1 species
AGAAUCAACGCUGGCGGCGUGCCUAACACAUGCAAGUCGCACGAGAAAGGGUAGCAAUACCUGAGUAAAGUGGCGCACGGGUGAGUAACACGUGAAUAAUCUACCUCCGAGCGGGGAAUAACCUAGAGAAAUCUGGGCUAAUACCGCAUAACACUUACGAGUCAAAGCAGCAAUGCGCUUGGAGAGGAGUUCGCGGCAGAUUAGCUAGUUGGCGGGGUAAUGGCCCACCAAGGCGAUGAUCUGUAUCCGGCCUGAGAGGGCGCGACGGACGACGACUGGAACUGAAACACGGUCCAGACUCCUACGGGAGGCAGCAGUGGGGAAUUUUGCGCAAUGGGGGAAACCCUGACGCAGCAACGCCGCGUGGAGGAUGAAAUCCCUUGGGAUGUAAACUCCUUUCGAUAGGGAAGAUAAUGACGGUACCUAUAGAAGAAGCCCCGGCUAACUUCGUGCCAGCAGCCGC